rnacentral:lncRNA from 1 species
CUACAAGUUCCACUACUCCAUGGUAGGUAGUCAAUUAAAGCUCUAUCUCAUCCUUUUUGGGGCUGUAUCUUGAUGAAAGUAGGUAGUCAAGUAAAGCUCUUCUUCAUCAUUUUUUUUAUUUUUCUAUAAAUUUUUAUUAGAAUCAUUAUUUUAUCUUUCUACUUUUUUAUGAGUCCAGUUAUGUGUUCAGAUAAGAAAUUGUAGAUUCAAGGAUUAGAAUUUGGAGUUUUAACGUGAAAGCCACUAUUAUGCUAGAUCUAAGAAAGAGAUUUAGGAAAGUCACCAUUAUAGACUGGAAUUUGGGAUUUGUUCAAUAGAGGAAUGCUUCCUUUUUAAUUAUUUUCACAUAUUAUAGAUUAUGCACUAAUAUAAAGCUUGAAGUACCUUUGAAGUUUAUUUCAUAAAAUGAUGC